rnacentral:rRNA from 1 species
GACGAACGCUGGCGGCGUGCUUAACACAUGCAAGUCGAACGGAAAGGCCCUGCUUUUGUGGGGUGCUCGAGUGGCGAACGGGUGAGUAACACGUGAGUAACCUGCCCUUGACUUUGGGAUAACUUCAGGAAACUGGGGCUAAUACCGGAUAGGAGCUCCUGCUGCAUGGUGGGGGUUGGAAAGUUUCGGCGGUUGGGGAUGGACUCGCGGCCUAUCAGCUUGUUGGUGGGGUAGUGGCUUACCAAGGCUUUGACGGGUAGCCGGCCUGAGAGGGUGACCGGCCACAUUGGGACUGAGAUACGGCCCAGACUCCUACGGGAGGCAGCAGUGGGGAAUAUUGCACAAUGGGCGGAAGCCUGAUGCAGCAACGCCGCGUGCGGGAUGACGGCCUUCGGGUUGUAAACCGCUUUCGCCUGUGACGAAGCGUGAGUGACGGUAAUGGGUAAGAAGCACCGGCUAACUACGUG